ACUCAAAUGAAUAGACGGGGGCCCGCACAAGCGGUGGAGCAUGUGGUUUAAUUCGAUGCAACGCGAAGAACCUUACCAGGGUUUGAACUGUAUUUGCAGAAUUCAGAAAUGAAUUUCCCUAGCAAUAGGCAAAUACAGAGGUGCUGCAUGGCUGUCGUCAGCUCGUGUCGUGAGAUGUUGGGUUAAGUCCCGCAACGAGCGCAACCCUUGCUUUUAGUUGCUCAUUCUUUAUUGAUUAGCACUCUAAGAGGACCGCCGGUGAUAAACCGGAGGAAGGUGGGGAUGACGUCAAGUCAUCAUGGCCUUUAUGCCCUGGGCUACACACGUGCUACAAUGGCUGGAACAAAGGGUCGCAGAACCGCAAGGCGAAGCCAAUCCCAUCAAAACCAGCCUCAGUUCGGAUUGCACUCUGCAACUCGAGUGCAUGAAGGUGGAAUCGCUAGUAAUCGCGGAUCAGCAUGCCGCGGUGAAUACGUUUCCGGGCCUUGCACACACCGCCCGU
rnacentral:rRNA from 1 species